UACAGAGACAUGAACACACAAGCAAGAAUGGAUAAAUAACAAAGUGUUUAAGGUCCAAUUGUGAACCACUAAAAUAUAGUGAUAGUCUGCCCAUCAGAAUUCUACUUUAUCACAGGUUUUAUAUGAUUAUCAAUUACAGUGCUUGGGUUUCUAGUUUAGAUUCAGAUAUGCCCAAAGUAUUUGAAAAAAUUUCUGAAGGCCAAAUGAAAGUAAGAAUCAUUAUAAAUAUUUUAGUGCAUUUCAGAGAUUUGUGACUGACAACUUGAGACAACAAAUACAGACCAAAUUUUCCAUAACUCUGUACCUGAGAAUUAUAAAAAAUACAACAUCAGCCAAACAGUAGGACUGACCUGAUUCUUACUCAGAAGACAUGGUGUAGUUAUAUUCAAUUCCCUACAAAACAGAAAAUAUUCAUUAAGCACUGACUUUGACCAGUACUUGGAGAUAACAGUAGAAAGAUGGGUAAGAAUGACUAUUGGGGAAAUCAAAUAUGCAAACAGAAUGUGAAAUCUAAUUUUAGUGUUUUAAAAUUUGUUAAAUGCUAUGUGUGGUGGCUAACAUCUAUAAUCCCAGCACCAGGAGGAUUUCUGUGAGUUCAAGGCCAGCUUGGGUAACAUAGUGAAUUCAAGACCAGCCUGAACUACCUAGUGAGACUCUGUCUCAAAAAAAAAAAAACACAACAACAACAAAAAAGAUAAUCUAAAAAUUGUUGUAACAGCUGGGUGUAGUGUCAUAUGCCUGUAAUCUGAACACUGUGGGAGGCUGGGGCAGAAG
rnacentral:lncRNA from 1 species